CUCUUUCUGAGACGACUCUGGUUUUAUAAGAUACUGGAUACAAGAUACUAGAUACAGAUACAAAAUCAUCUUUCUUCAACCUUUUAUGCCAAUUUUUUGUUCCCUCGAUCGAUUUACUUUCUCUAUUUCCUUCUUUCUCCUUCAUCUUCAUCAUCUUCUUCAUCAUCACAAUCCUCUACAGCAUCUACAUCAUCUUUAACAUCUCCAACAUCAUCUAAAUUAUCAUCUUUGGUGAAUAACUUGUCCCAAUUUUCAUUAUUAUCUAUCAUCUUUAUAUUGAACCACUUUUAAUGUUUACAUCCUUUUUAUUCUCUAUGUAAAAAAGUUGAUAGACUUUCGACGCUUUUUUACCUUUUUUCCUUUGUUUUUUUUGUUGUAUUUUCUUUGUUUUUUUUCAUCAUCUAGUGAUAUAAUUAAUUGGAUUCAAUCCUUUCUUGUACCGUCAUUUGAAUUGCUCAUUAUUUUGGUGUGUUAUUUUUUCCUUAUUUUAUAUUUAUAUCUUUUCAUAAUGUACAUUUGAUUCUGUAAUAGCUACUAUGUGCUCAUAAUGGUUGAAACAUGGCUUUUCCUUUUGGUACAACUAUUAUUAUAUGAGUAUUAUAAUUUAAUGGUAAUGUGAUGAUGUUGAUGAAGAGUUAACGAAUUGAAUGAAUCCAUAAUAAUAUAUGUAUUAAUAGAUUUAUUACAAUGAUAAUCAUAUGAUAAUAUACAUGGCCUAUUGAAUUGUUAAACUUUGCGCUUCAAUUGAUAAUUGGUAUUUACGGUAUGCUUGGUGCUUUUUAAUGCACAGUUAGACUUGUUAGACAUCUUAUUUUUAUCACCUCUUUUGUGAAUUACGUUUCAUUGAAAUCUUUUUUCCCUAUCCUCAAGUUAACCUUAAUAUCCCACAGUUUCAAUUAACUAAACCACAAUUAGACGAGUAAAUGAUAGAGUGAAGUCAAGUAUUAUAAAAUUGAAUCUGAGUUUGAAUCGAGUCAAAUAAAUUACAGUCAAUUUCAAGCUUAAUCACUCCAUGUUUAUUAUAUACACUGGUCUUGUUUAACCCAUGAAUGGGAAAUAGGAUACAAUUAACGAAUUAAAGAUUGCAAAAAAAAUUAAUUAAGAUUUUAAUGGUUGAAUAGUGAAAAUAAGCUAUUUUAAGAGACGCUUACGUGAAAAGUAUUGAUAUCUGUAUCAAGAUGGAUCGAGUAUUUUAUUUCAAUCCAACGGUUUAUUAAUUAGUCAUUUUCAGUUUGUGGAUAAUUAGCAGUCUUUUAUUUCAAUUUUAAUCAACUUUAUCAUUAUGUUGUUACAUUUUGUGGUUUAUUUGGACUUUGAGUUAAAGGUGUAUAAUUACUAGUUACGAGUUCUCUAUUUUUUACCAGGAAAUUUGAUCAUACGUUAUUUUUGUUCAGACUCUCAUUAGACUUUCAGAGUCAUGAAUCUCUCCAUGAAACAAGUAAAGUAAAAGUUUUUUAACAUCCUCCUUAAACAAACAAAGAGUGAUGAGAAAUGAAGAUACAAAAUGUGGAUGAUGGUGAUGAUGACUAUCAAAUGGUCCAAGUGUUUAUUCACUGUGAACUAAAAGGGAAAUGGCUAAUGUAGUUUACAGAGUCGUAUUGUUGAAACCAAUUGGAGCGGAACUUGGUUUCUUCUGUCUUAAAUCGAUUCACAGUGGUAAAGGCCAGUUCCAUAAUGAUUCCAGGAAUAUCUUCGUUUUUAUUCUUAAUUGUCUUCAUGUCUAGCUAAGAUUAAUGGUGAGCAUAAAUCAAGGCGCAAAAUACUUAUACAGGGAGUUACGUUCAAUUUACGAAGAAACGUGUUUAUACACUGACAUUGUAUUCCAAGUUUCUGUUGGUCGAAUCAAUUAUCUACUCAAAUUCGUUGUAAUGUUCAAAAUUUUGAAUUAUUUGUUAGACUUGUUCAAGUGACGACUUUUGAACAACAAGCAUCGCAUGCUAUUCAACUAUCAGAUUGAUAUGAUGAUCUGAUAAUGAUUAUGAUGGAAUGUUUAUAUUUUUCGGCAAAAAUCUAUGAUUCUAUUCUUAGUGUGAUAAUUUGUUAAAUUAUGGAUCAAAUUGGGUGAUUUUUAUUCACACAGUUUAUUUACGACUUAUGAUUGCUAUUGUGAAAAAGUUCAACAAAGCUCUGUUCAUGAUUCAAUGAAGACAACAAUUUAGAGAGUGUUUUUAUCAUAUUUUGAUUCAACAACAAAAGAUUUGUUGAUGUUUGAGGUAAUUUUUGACUGAUUGAUGUGAUUAAUUGGCAUUUCUUUUUUUCUUCAUUACAAUAAUAGUUGAUUAUGGUUAUGUCAGCUUUUCAACCUUUUUGACAAUAAACAUUUUUAUCACUCAU